GGUUAAGCGACUAAGCGUACACGGUGGAUGCCCUGGCAGUCAGAGGCGAUGAAGGACGUGCUAAUCUGCGAUAAGCGUCGGUAAGGUGAUAUGAACCGUUAUAACCGGCGAUUUCCGAAUGGGGAAACCCAGUGUGUUUCGACACACUAUCAUUAACUGAAUCCAUAGGUUAAUGAGGCGAACCGGGGGAACUGAAACAUCUAAGUACCCCGAGGAAAAGAAAUCAACCGAGAUUCCCCCAGUAGCGGCGAGCGAACGGGGAGGAGCCCAGAGCCUGAAUCAGUGUGUGUGUUAGUGGAAGCGUCUGGAAAGGCGCGCGAUACAGGGUGACAGCCCCGUACACAAAAAUGCACAUAUUGUGAGCUCGAUGAGUAGGGCGGGACACGUGGUAUCCUGUCUGAAUAUGGGGGGACCAUCCUCCAAGGCUAAAUACUCCUGACUGACCGAUAGUGAACCAGUACCGUGAGGGAAAGGCGAAAAGAACCCCGGCGAGGGGAGUGAAAAAGAACCUGAAACCGUGUACGUACAAGCAGUGGGAGCACGCUUAGGCGUGUGACUGCGUACCUUUUGUAUAAUGGGUCAGCGACUUAUAUUCUGUAGCAAGGUUAACCGAAUAGGGGAGCCGAAGGGAAACCGAGUCUUAACUGGGCGUUAAGUUGCAGGGUAUAGACCCGAAACCCGGUGAUCUAGCCAUGGGCAGGUUGAAGGUUGGGUAACACUAACUGGAGGACCGAACCGACUAAUGUUGAAAAAUUAGCGGAUGACUUGUGGCUGGGGGUGAAAGGCCAAUCAAACCGGGAGAUAGCUGGUUCUCCCCGAAAGCUAUUUAGGUAGCGCCUCGUGAAUUCAUCUCCGGGGGUAGAGCACUGUUUCGGCAAGGGGGUCAUCCCGACUUACCAACCCGAUGCAAACUGCGAAUACCGGAGAAUGUUAUCACGGGAGACACACGGCGGGUGCUAACGUCCGUCGUGAAGAGGGAAACAACCCAGACCGCCAGCUAAGGUCCCAAAGUCAUGGUUAAGUGGGAAACGAUGUGGGAAGGCCCAGACAGCCAGGAUGUUGGCUUAGAAGCAGCCAUCAUUUAAAGAAAGCGUAAUAGCUCACUGGUCGAGUCGGCCUGCGCGGAAGAUGUAACGGGGCUAAACCAUG
rnacentral:rRNA from 1 species